rnacentral:lncRNA from 1 species
GUGAAGCUGCUGUGUAGUAUCGCAUAACAACUAGACAUAGCCAAUCUCAACAUGCAUACAUGCUGAAGGUGGUAGUUUGAUGGAUCAUGAACUUACAUCAGGUUUAUUGCAUACAUGCUGAAAAUAACAUGAAGGUGGUAGUUUGAUGGAUCAUGAACUUACAUGUUAUUCAGCUCAAAGAUACCAAUAAUAUGACCAUACAUUUCAAGGGAGAGUACUGGUAAGAGUCAAGGAUUCCAUAUUGACCCACAUAAGUAUCGAGAACAACACUACAGAAAAGAGGAGCAGUCAACUAACUGAAAAUUAAUCAAGAUACAUGGAUUGCAUUCCUCGUCAAAGAUACCUGCCUUGAGGAGCUGCAGAGAUUGGAUAAUACAAACUGAUAAAUCAAAUUUCAGUAUAGAAAGCAAAGAAGCAAGACCAAUAUAACAACAACAACAACAACUACCCAGUAUACUCCCACCAGGUGGGGUCUGGGG